CAGUGCUUGAAGCAGUGGGUGUGCCAACAUGUCCCAUGGUUCCAGCACUGGUUUUGACCACCACAUUACCAUUUUUUCACCCGAGGGCCGGCUCUACCAAGUAGAAUAUGCUUUUAAGGCUAUUAACCAGGGUGGCCUUACAUUGGUAGCUGUCAGAGGGAAAGACUGUGCAGUAAUUGUCACACAGAAGAAAGUACCUGACAAAUUAUUGGAUUCUAGCACAGUGACUCACUUAUUCAAGAUAACUGAAAACAUUGGCUGUGUGAUGACAGGAAUGACAGCUGACAGCAGAUCCCAGGUACAGAGGGCAUGCUAUGAGGCAGCUAACUGGAAAUACAAGUAUGGCUAUGAGAUUCCUGUGGACAUGCUGUGCAAAAGAAUUGCUGAUAUUUCUCAGGUCUACACACAGAAUGCUGAAAUGAGGCCUCUUGGUUGUUGUAUGAUUUUAAUUGGUAUCGAUGAAGAACAAGGCCCUCAGGUGUACAAGUGUGAUCCUGCAGGUUACUACUGUGGGUUUAAAGCCACUGCAGCAGGAGUUAAACAAACGGAGUCAACCAGCUUCCUUGAAAAAAAAGUGAAGAAGAAAUUUGGACAUUUGAGCAGACAGUGGAAACUGCAAUUACAUGCCUAUCUACUGUUCUAUCAAUUGAUUUCAAACCUUCAGAAGUAGAAGUUGGAGUAGUUACAGUUGAAAAUCCUAAAUUCAGGAUUCUUUCAGAAGCAGAGAUUGAUGCUCACCUUGUUGCUCUAGCCGAGAGAGACUAAACAUGUAGUUAGUUUAC